GACGUAGGGCGCGAGCGUUGUCCGGAUUUAUUGGGCGUAAAGAGCUCGUAGGCGGUUUGUCGCGUCGUCCGUGAAAACUCACAGCUUAACUGUGAGCUUGCGGUCGAUACGGGCAGGCUAGAGUUCGGUAGGGGGAGACUGGAAUUCCUGGUGUAGCGGUGAAAUGCGCAGAUAUCAGGAGGAACACCGGUGGCGAAGGCGGGUCUCUGGGCCGAUACUGACGCUGAGGAGCGAAAGCAUGGGGAGCAAACAGG
rnacentral:rRNA from 1 species